GACGAACGCUGGCGGCGUGCCUAAUACAUGCAAGUCGAACGCAGUGGGGACGGGUGAGUAACACGUUGGUAACCUCCCUUCAGAGGGGAUAACACUUGGAAACAGGUGCUAAACCGAUACUGAUGGAUGGACCCGCGGUGCAUUAGCUAGUUGGUGAGGUAACGGCCCACCAAGGCCACGAUGCAUAGCCGACCUGAGAGGGUGCGCGGCCACAAUGGGACUGAGACACGGCCCAGACGCCUACGGGAGGCAGCAGUAGGGAAUCGUCGGAAAUGGAGGAAAGUCUGACCGAGCAACGCCGCGUGAGUGAAGAAGGUUUUAGGAUCGGAAAACUCUGUUGUUAGAGAAGCGGUAUCUAACCAGAAAGCCACGGCUAACUACGUGCCAGCAGCCGCGGUAAUUC
rnacentral:rRNA from 1 species